CUGCAGCAACCGCCGCGGGCGCGCUUGGUCCGACGGCUGUGGCGCGCUCCGCGCGGCCUCGGACACGCCUAGUCCUGCUGCUGCGCUCUCGGACCUUUUUCCUCCCCCCCCUUCUCCUUCCGACGAUGAGCGGGCGCGCGCACAGCCUUCCCACCCUCCCACUACUGCAGAGCGUGUCCGCUCGCGCAUGCGGGAGAGCCGCGCCUCUUCUUCACAGCACAGCCGGCAGCAGCAGCAACAGAGCAGGGCAGGGAGAGGCCGCGCGCCGCCCUGAUGCUUCCGCUCGUUUACCCCCACCAGCUCCUCUCCAGGGAGGGGCGGACGGAAGGCAGGCAGCCAGCCAGGGAGAGGGGUGCACAAUAGUCCUCCCUCCAACCCCCUUUGCACUAUUUCGACAUCGGAAACAUGCUAGCCCCACCCCCUCGCCUCCAACCACUCUCUUCACACAGGGUAGGCAAAAGAAACGCCAUCCUAACGCACCACACACGCAUACUACACACUUCACAUCUUUGUUCCGGUUUCCAGCCAUUGGAGGCCUGGAGCCAAGUCCCAGUCAUUCAAGGCCACAGAGUACAUACUGUAGCUGAUUUCAUAACCCGAAGGCACCAAAACACUUUAAACUCUGGAGCACAGCUGCACAACUUUGGUCCUCCAGCUAUUGGACUACAGCUCCCAUCAUCUGCUACCACAGUGGCCAAUAGUCAGGGAUGAUGGGAGUUGUAGUCCAGCAUCUGCAGGAGGGCCAAAAGUAUGCAGUCCUGUUCUGAAGGAUGACAGUGAGAAGCAACCUACUCUUCUAUUCUAGUUAUGUGCAUCCUUAUCAAGAUCUAAAUGAUAGUGAUUUGUGCUGCACUGCAAAUAAUGCCAUGUGAAAUUGCAUAAUGCAGGUUAUGUUACUUGCCUAACAUAUCUCAGAUAAUUUUUAAAAAUGCAAUGCUUCCUACAGAGACUGAUCUGGAGUACUUUUAUGAAAGCUAUGAUGAAAUGUAAAAAGCUUAACAACACAAAAAUGCAUUGCAGUAUAACUACUAAGCUUGAAAGAGCAAGAAAAGGAAAAUGGGCAGAAGAGGAAGGUAAACGAUUGACUUCAACCAACCAUUAUGAAUUUGUCAAAUCCAUAUCCUGAAGCAUUGCUUACUGUGGUGAAGAUUAUUCUUUAUGGAUAAUACAAAUAUUCAUAAGCCAAUUGGAAGCAAAUUUAGAUACCAGACUGACAAAAAACUUCUGCUAGGAUACUUGAGAUUUUCAGUAUAUAGAGAAAUGAGGGCAAAAAAAUUGUGGAGACAUUAUGUAACAUUUGCCUAUCAGUUUUGUUUAAAUCUAUAUUGGAAAUUUCAGUUUGGGGAAGAAAAAGGCCACUUCUGGGCUUUCCAGAGGUAUCUGGCCAUUGUGGGAAACAGGAUGCUCAAGUACUGUGGUGAAGAUUAUUCUUUAUGGAUAAUACAAAUAUUCAUAAGCCAAUUGGAAGCAAAUUUACCAGACUGACAAAAAACUUCUGCUAGUAUACUUGAGAUUUUCAAUAUAUAGAGAAUUGAGGGCAAAAAAAUUGUGGAGACAUUAUGUAACAUUUGCCUAUCAGUUUUGUUUAAAUCUAUAUUGGAAAUUUCAGUUUGGGGAAGAAAAAGGCCACUUCUGGGCUUUCCAGAGGUACAUUGCCAUUGUGGGAAACAGGAUGCUCAAGUAGAUUGACUUUUAAUUUAAUCUAGCUGGGCCCUUCUUAAAAACAUUAUUCCACUGAAGAUACAUAAAAUAAUCCCGACAAUGACAGAAUGUGAAAAUAUUGUCCAUGAAUCAAUCAGUGCAGUAUCUGAAGUUUCCUUCCAUAGCACUUGCAUAUCCAUAUUGCUGUGUGACACCUGAAUUUUCUGGAAUUGAGAGAUCGUCAGUAGUGCAAUUUGACAGAAUUGACCAUGAAUUAUGAAGUGCACAUAAGCAUCUCAAAGGACCUUCAGUCUAGUUUAAUAGGGUGGUUCUUAAAGUUAUUGAUACGUCUGCUGUUAUCAGUCCAGCAUUUCUAAAAUCCAAAGAACUCACUUUUUCUGAAAGCUUAACAAUAAAUGGGUCUUAACAAAGUAUGUGAAGACCCACAGAUUAUCUGAAGAAAGAAGUGCAGGAGAAAAUCGAGUGAUUCUAACAAUGGAAAGUGCCAACACUAGAUUUGAAUUUCCUUGGGCAAGAUUCUGAGUCAGCAGCUCAAGAGUCCUUGUACACCUGCCAGCAACUUAUUUUUGGGUCUUUCUUUUCUGAAGAUUACUCUUCAGUAGCUAUGAUAAGACCAUCAAUGGACAUCAUUAAAUUCAAUACACACUACUUGAACAAUGACCAUAUUAGGAGACAAUCUGAUAAAUGCAGUCUAUGUGUUUCCCCUCUCACCUCAGUGUAGAUGGUAUGUAGAUAGCCAGUAAUGGAAAUGAAAGUGGUUACUGUUUUAAGAAAUAUGGGCAUAGAGUACAUGCUGUUUGUUGUUUAAACUUGCUUACCAGAAAAAAUGCACAACAAAACCUUGUGGUUGCAGUCAAUCAAGACGAACAUCUGCUGUGAUAUGUGCAAACUACAAAGGCAACUGUUGCAUUUAAUUUGUGUGUGUUUUUGUAAAACACAAACCGAUGUUCGUAAUAAACAUUUUAGAAAACAUAA